GACGAACGCUGGCGGCGUGCCUAAUACAUGCAAGUAGAACGCACAGUUUAUACCGUAGCUUGCUACACCAUAGACUGUGAGUUGCGAACGGGUGAGUAACGCGUAGGUAACCUGCCUGGUAGCGGGGGAUAACUAUUGGAAACGAUAGCUAAUACCGCAUAAUAUUAAUUAUUGCAUGAUAAUUAAUUGAAAGGUGCAAUUGCACCACUACCAGAUGGACCUGCGUUGUAUUAGCUAGUAGGUGAGGUAACGGCCCACCUAGGCGACGAUACAUAGCCGACCUGAGAGGGGGAUCGGCCACACUGGGACUGAGACACGGCCCAGACUCCUACGGGAGGCAGCAGUAGGGAAUCUUCGGCAAUGGACGAAAGUCUGACCGAGCAACGCCGCGGGAGUGAAGAAGGUUGUCGGAUCGUAAAGCUCUGUUGUAAGAGAAGAACGGGUGUGAGAGUGGAAAGUUCACACUGUGACGGUAGCUUACCAGAAAGGGACGGCUAACUACGUG
rnacentral:rRNA from 1 species